UUUAAAAUCUUCCCAUUUCCUUAUAAUGGGUGAAAUAUGUGUGAGGGGCGGGGCUUUUGUCAGUCAGUCAACAGUUGUUUUAUUUUUUCUGAACGUAGAUAAAAGCUUGUGUUUUACAUCAGUUCUAGGUUCUUCUGUUCUUAUUUAACUGGUUCUGAUCCACUGUAGGUCAUAUUGGUCUGAAUGUGGAACCUGAACCCGGUUCUGUUUAGAUGUUUAUUUCCAUGUUCCACACGCAGAUGUUCCAGAUAAACAGAUGUUCCAGUUUUUCACCCAGUGGAUACCAUAACUUCAUCUUUUAUUUGAAUGUUCUCCUACAAAUGAGUGGAGUUUUUAUUCAGUACUAGGCUUUAAAGCAGAAGGAACCCAUGAGGAGAUCAAGUAAAGCCCAGACUGAGGAGGUUCUCCAAACGUUAACCCUUUGUUUUCCACUGGUUGAGGAGGUUCUCCAAACGCUAACCCUUUAUUUUCCACUGGUUGAGGAGGUUCUCCAAACGUUCACCCUUUUUUUUUCCAUUGGAUGAGGAGGUUCUCCAAAUGUUAACACUUUUUUUUCCAUUGGUUGAGGAGGUUCUCCAAACGUUAACCCUUUGUUUUCCAUUGGAGGAGAAGGUUCUCCAAACGUUAACCCUGUGUUUUCCACUGGUUGAGGAGGUUCUCUGCAGUUCUGUGUAAAAGCAAUAACAUCCAUGUGCUCAUGUUCCAUGGCCUCAGACUCGGAUUCUGAACGGGACCAACAUAUUUGUACUGAUAUUUAUGUUGUUGUUGUGGUUCUGGUUGAGUUUUUAUAACAGAUCUGUAUCAGUGGUUUUGUAUUGGUUCUAUAAAUGUUCAUGUACAUAUGAA